GAUGAAGAACGUAGCGAAAUGCGAUAACUAAUGUGAAUUGCAGAAUUCAGUGAAUCAUCGAGUCUUUGAACGCACAUUGCGCCCCCUGGUAUUCCGGGGGGCAUGCCUGUCCGAGCGUCAUUGCUGCCCUCAAGCACGGCUUGUGUGUUGGGCUCCGUCCCCCCGGGGACGGGCCCGAAAGGCAGCGGCGGCACCGAGUCCGGUCCUCGAGCGUAUGGGGCUUUGUCACCCGCUCUGUAGGCCCGGCCGGCGCCAGCCGACAACCCAUCAGCCUUUUCAGGUUGACCUCGGAUCAGGUAGGGAUACCCGCUGAACUUAAGCAUAUCAAUAAGCGGAGGA
rnacentral:misc_RNA from 1 species